CACGUAGGGCGCAAGCGUUGUCCGGAAUUAUUGGGCGUAAAGAGCUCGUAGGCGGUCUGUUGCGUCCGCUGUGAAAACUCGGGGCUUAACCCCGAGCCUGCAGUGGAUACGGGCAGACUAGAGGUAGGUAGGGGAGAAUGGAAUUCCCGGUGUAGCGGUGAAAUGCGCAGAUAUCGGGAGGAACACCGGUGGCGAAGGCGGUCUCUGGGCCUUACCUGACGCUGAGGAGCGAAAGCGUGGGGAGCGAACAG
rnacentral:rRNA from 1 species